UCCAAGUAGUUUUUCAGUGCAACAAUAUCAGUAUCGCCAGAGUUCCCAAUAUUAUCAUAAAUAUUAUACUUUUUGGCAGCAACUCUCAUUGCUUCCCCUUCUGUAGAGUCAAGGGUUCCCACAGGAUGAUUGACUUGAUCUAACUUUUUCUUUUUUAAACCAAUUCUGAUCAACCCACCAUUGUGUGUAGAAAGAACCACAGGGAAUAAAAGGAGAAAUGCCAUCCAGAGAGCACUGAAUUUAGUUCCCAUGUUGAAAGCUCAGAGAAAGUAGAUAAAGUGGAGAAGC
rnacentral:misc_RNA from 1 species